rnacentral:rRNA from 1 species
UACGUAGGCAGCGAGCGUUGUUCGGAAUUACUGGGCGUAAAGCGUGCGCAGGCGGUUUUGUAAGUUUGUCGUGAAAUCCCCGGGCUCAACCUGGGAAUGGCGAUGAAGACUGCAAGGCUAGAAUCUGGCAGAGGGGGGUAGAAUUCCACGUGUAGCAGUGAAAUGCGUAGAGAUGUGGAGGAACACCGAUGGCGCAAGGCAGCCCCCUGGGUCAAGAUUGACGCUCAUGCACGAAAGGCGUG